rnacentral:RNase_P_RNA from 1 species
GCGGAUGGCCAGGCGACCGCGGUUCCGGAUCGCUCCGGGAUCGAGGAAAGUCCGGACUCCAUGAAGCAACGGUGCCGGGUAACGCCCGGCCGGGGCAACCCGAGGGAAAGCGCCACAGAGAACAGACCGCUCCGGCCUGCCGGAGCAAGGGUGAAACGGUGGGGCAAGAGCCCACCGCGGGACUGGCAACAGGACCGGCACGGCAAGCCCCACCGGGAGCAAUGCCGAAUAGGGAUCCUGCGCGGGCACCGCCCGCAGGGCCGCUUCAGCCCUGGGAUCCGGGUUGGCAGCUGGAGCCCGCCAGCGAUGGCGGGCCGAGAGGAAUGGUCGCCCAGGGGGAUCUCCCCCGGACAGAAUCCGGCUUACAGGCCGUCCGCGCCC